UACGGAGGGUGCAAGCGUUGUCCGGAAUCAUUGGGCGUAAAGAGUUCGUAGGUGGUUUGUUAAGUUUGGUGUUAAAUACAGAGGCUUAACUUCUGUUCGGCAUCGGAUACUGGCAGACUUGAAUGCGGUAGAGGUAAAGGGAAUUCCUGGUGUAGCGGUGAAAUGCGUAGAUAUCAGGAGGAACAUCGGUGGCGUAAGCGCUUUACUGGGCCGUUAUUGACACUGAGGAACGAAAGCCGGGGUAG
rnacentral:rRNA from 1 species